GAUGAACGCUGGCGGCGUGCCUAAUACAUGCAAGUCGAGCGAACGGACGAGAAGCUUGCCUCUCUGAUGGUAGCGGCGGACGGGUGAGUAACACGUGGAUAACCUACCUAUAAGACUGGGAUAACUUCGGGAAACCGUAGCUAAUACCGGAUAAUAUUUUGAACCGCAGGGUUCAAAAGUGAAAGACGGUCUUGCUGCCACUUAUAGAUGGAUCCGCGCUGCAUUAGCUAGUUGGUAAGGUAACGGCUUACCAAGGCAACGAUGCAUAGCCGACCUGAGAGGGUGAUCGGCCACACUGGAACUGAGACACGGUCCAGACUCCUACGGGAGGCAGCAGUAGGGAAUCUUCCGCAAUGGGCGCAAGCCUGACGGAGCAACGCCGCGUGAGUGAUGAAGGUCUUCGGAUCGUAAAACUCUGUUAUUAGGGAAGAACAUCUGUGUACGUAACUGUGCACAUCUUGACGGUACCUAAUCAGAAAGCCCCGGCUAACUACGUG
rnacentral:rRNA from 1 species